rnacentral:rRNA from 1 species
AUUGAACGCUGGCGGCAGGCCUAACACACGCAAGUCGAACGGUAACAGGAAACAGCUUGCUGUUUCGCUGACGAGUGGCGGACGGGUGAGUAAUGUCUGGGAAACUGCCUGAUGGAGGGGGAUAACUACUGGAAACGGUAGCUAAUACCGCAUAACGUCGCAAGACCAAAGAGGGGGACCUUCGGGCCUCUUGCCAUCGGAUGUGCCCAGAUGGGAUUAGCUUGUUGGUGGGGUAACGGCUCACCAAGGCGACGAUCCCUAGCUGGUCUGCGAGGAUAACAGGCCACACUGGAACUGAGACACGGUCCAUAUUCCUACGGUAGGCAGCAGUGGGGAAUAUUGCACAAUGGGCGCAAGCCUGAUGCAGCCAUGCCGCGUGUAUGAAGAAGGCCUUCGGGUUGUAAAGUACUUUCAGCGGGGAGGAAGGGAGUAAAGUUAAUACCUUUACUCAUUGACGUUACCCGCAGAAGAAGCACCGGCUAACUCCGUGCCAGCAGCCGCCGUAA